rnacentral:rRNA from 1 species
UGAGGAAUAUUGGUCAAUGGACGCAAGUCUGAACCAGCCAUGCCGCGUGCAGGAUGAAUGUGCUAUGCAUUGUAAACUGCUUUUGUACGAGGGUAAAAACAGGUACGUGUACCUGGUUGAAAGUAUCGUACGAAUAAGGGUCGGCUAACUCCGUGCCAGCAGCCGCGGUAAUACGGAGGACCCGAGCGUUAUCCGGAUUUAUUGGGUUUAAAGGGUGCGUAGGCGGAUUGGUAAGUUAGAGGUGAAAGCUCAGCGCUUAACGUUGAAACUGCCUCUGAUACUGUCGGUCUAGAGUAUAGUUGCGGAAGGCGGAAUGUGUGGUGUAGCGGUGAAAUGCUUAGAUAUCACACAGAACACCGAUUGCGAAGGCAGCUUUCCAAGCUAUUACUGACGCUGAGGC